rnacentral:ncRNA from 15 species
GGAUCCAUAGCUUAAUGGUAAAAGCGACCAACUCCACAUUGGUCCAAAAGAAUAUAGAGGGUUCGAUUCCUGCUGGAUCCA